rnacentral:sRNA from 1 species
AUGUACCACUCGUACACUCCGGUUCCUGUGCGCCGCCCGCACCCACCUGACGACUGCUC